GUUGUAGGGGAAUGGUGCGUUCAUUUUUCUAGAGAGAAAGUCCACAGCGUUUGAAAGUGUCCUUGGACCAUCAAAACGCCCAGAGUCUCUGCUAUGGAGAAUGUACUCUUCCAGAAAGCAAAGAUACCUCCAGCCAGAGAAGGAGCGGACCUUUCUCUCCAGACUUGAGACUGCCACAGACCAGCCCACCCAGUGGAUAUUUUCAGCUACAAUUUCACUGAGAGUGCUGCCCUUUGAGGGCUUUAUAUAGAGGACGGGGUCUCAAUUCAAACAUCCUGCUGUAGAAAUGCCCAAGGCCUCAGCUCCCUGUGGUCUUUAAAACUGAAGCCACCUGCUUCGUAAGACUGGCAAGGCAUCCGGAGCAGCUGAAAUAGUUUGAAUUGCCUGAGCUUCGGGAUCUGUUGCUCCACCCUAAUCAUUCAUCAAUG
rnacentral:lncRNA from 1 species